UACGAAGGGGGCUAGCGUUGCUCGGAAUGACUGGGCGUAAAGGGCGCGUAGGCGGAUGGCACAGUCAGAUGUGAAAUUCCCGGGCUUAACCUGGGGGCUGCAUUUGAUACGUGUUGUCUAGAGUGAGGAAGAGGGUUGUGGAAUUCCCAGUGUAGAGGUGAAAUUCGUAGAUAUUGGGAAGAACACCGGUGGCGAAGGCGGCUCACUGGCUCAUUACUGAGCUCAGGCGCGACAGCGUGGGGAUCAAACAGG
rnacentral:rRNA from 1 species